rnacentral:rRNA from 1 species
UACAGAGGUCCCAAGCGUUGUUCGGAUUCACUGGGCGUAAAGGGUGCGUAGGCGGUCGGGUAAGUCUGAUGUGAAAUCUCACAGCUUAACUGUGAAACUGCAUUGGAUACUAUCCGGCUCGAGGAAUGGAGGGGAGACUGGAAUACUUGGUGUAGCAGUGAAAUGCGUAGAUAUCAAGUGGAACACCUGUGGCGAAGGCGAGUCUCUGGACAUUUCCUGACGCUGAGGCACGAAAGCCAGGGGAGCAAACGGG